AUAAAAAACUAUCAUAAAAAGGUAAACUUAAAAUUGAAGUGUUACAGAUUAUACAGGACACCAUUAGCAGUUGAGAAAAGUGUGGCAAAUGUUAAGAUGCAGUAUUAAAUCAUACUGCAUAAAAUUACCUAUGGCACAUAAUAUACCAUUUAAUAAUUUUGUGGCCACUUCCUACCACUAUGUAAUGAGUGCAGGUGUUGUGAAAUUCUAAUUAACACACCAUGUGAUACUGGUGUUUCUAUACGAGCAGUUGGUCUCAGCAGGGUCAAUCAAGAAAAGUAUAUAAAGUGAUUAUGGAUCUGGUGAAAAGGUUAGGAACAAAGGGUGUUAAAAUAUAGAUCUUAAGGACAUUCAAGAGUUAACAGGUUAAUGACUUAAGAGGGGUUAGCUCCAGGGGAGUUAACAGCUAAUAACUUAAGAAGAUGAGUGCUUCCAACCCCACAUUCGGUAAUAAGAAAGAUGCAGAAGAGGCCAGGCACAUACCUAUGAUACCAGCACUUUGGGAGGUGGAGGCACGAUGAUUGCCUGAGGCUGAGCAACAGUAAAUCAAAACAUUAGCCAGGCAUUGUGUGUGCACCACUGCUUGGAGGCUAUGGCAGGAGGAUCACCUGAGCCCAGCAAGCAUGCCACUGCACUGCACUGCCAGCAAUUGCAUGAGUCCCUGCCUCAAGAAAAAUGACAGUGAAACAGCAGUGCCAGAAACAAAUUAGCAUUAGACAAGCUGGCAGAAGGAUUGUGAUGACUGGAAAUUUCUUUUGACUACUUUUAUAAUGUGGGCCCUUGUAAAAUAGGGCAAUUAAACUGAAGCAACUAGUGGAAGAUUUGGUACCACAUAAACACGCUUUUAGAGAAGUGAAAAUGCAAAAAGAUAAGACACAAAUUAAGUGGGUACCCAUGCAGGUUGGUUACAUGAGUAUACUGCAUGAUGAUGAGAUUUGGACUUGAACCCAUCACCCAGACUUGAAGAUGUGGCCCCACAGGCAAGUAUUCAACUUUUGCCUCCCUCAGUCCCCCUUCAUGAGUCCCCAGUGUCUGCCAUUCUUAUCUCUAUAUCUGUGUGUACCCAGCGUUUCACUUAUACACAAGAACAUGCAGUAUUUGGUUUUUUCUUUCUGGAGUUAAUUCACUUAUGAUAUUGGCAGAAUACAGUAUGUAACACACAUAAGAUACAAAAUAUGUUAAUAAACUUUGUUAGUGAUGGAA